CUCAGAUUUAGCACCCCCGCCAGGGUCACCAGGCUCUCCGAGUUGGGAACUGGUAUUUAUUAUCAAAG
rnacentral:lncRNA from 1 species